rnacentral:rRNA from 1 species
AUGGCCACCAAGGGGCGCAAGGUCGUCGAGGUCCGUGACGCGAGCAGGACGGACGGGAAGGGCGACGCCGCGGACGUCCACGUCGUCCGCGAGGGGAAGAGCGACCACGACACCGCCGGCGGCGUCGGCCACCGCGGCGCGAGCAGGACGGACGGGCAUGGCGACGCGGGCGGCAAGGUCGGGGACUUCCGCGGCAUCGACGGGAAGGACUCCCUGAAGAUCGUCGCGAUGCAGGCGCCGGUCACCGUGGAGCGCCCCGUCCGCGGCGACCUCGAGGAGCACGUCCCCAAGCCCUAUUUGGCGAGGGCUUUGGCGGCUCCGGACAUGUACCACCCGGAGGGGACGACGGAUGAUCACCAGCACCACAACAUGAGCGUGCUGCAGCAGCACGUCGCCUUCUUCGACCGCGACAACAACGGCAUCAUCUAUCCCUGGGAGACUUACGAUGGAUGCCGUGCGGUUGGGUUCAACGUGUUCAUGUCCGCCUUCAUCGCGUUUCUGGUGAACCUGGUCAUGAGCUAUCCCACCCUGCCCGGUUGGCUGCCGAACCCUCUCUUCCCGAUCUACGUGCACAACAUCCACAAGAGCAAGCACGGGAGUGAUUCGGGGACCUAUGACAAAGAGGGCCGGUUCAUGCCGGUGAAUUUCGAGAACAUCUUCAGCAAGUACGCCCGCACGUACCCGGACAGGCUCAGCUACAGGGAGCUGUGGCGGAUGACCGAGGGGUGCCGGGAGGUGUUCGAUUUCUUCGGCUGGGUGGCGAUGAAGCUGGAGUGGUCGUUCCUGUACGUGCUGGCUCGGGACGACGAAGGGUACCUGUCGAGGGAGGCCAUCCGGCGCAUGUACGACGGCAGCCUCUUCGAGUACAUGGAGAGGCAGCGCAUGGAGCACGUCAAGAUGUCCUAG